rnacentral:rRNA from 2 species
CCUGGCGGCAGUAGCGCGGUGGUCCCACCUGACCCCAUGCCGAACUCAGAAGUGAAACGCCGUAGCGCCGAUGGUAGUGUG